CCUGGCUUCCCUGGGGGUCCUCAGCACUGACAUGGGACCUGGUACUGAGCUGGCAUCUUGGUACUGAGCUGGAUAUAUGCUGAAUGAGCAAUGGUUGUGCUGGGCAGAGGAUUGUGGCAGAGGCUCUCUGGAGAUGCAGGGAUUUUGUGCUAUGAAAUGAUAGAGACAUCAGAAACUCAAGCCAAAGCUCUGAGGCCACCCCAGAUCUCCAGUCCCACUUAGGGGCCAGCCUGUUGAAGUCCCUGUAAGGAAGACCAGCUCCUGCAGGUGCUUCUGUGGCCCAGCCAGCAUCUGUUAUGGGAAGGCACACAGGGCCAUCCAGCCUCACCAAUCAACUCACUUUAAUCAACCUCUUCCAAUCUUAGGCUGACUGCAGUAGAGAAAUUAUCUGAGGGAAGAAGAAAACAUAAGGAUGUUACCUAAGCCCUAUCUAGAGACACUAUUUCCCAUGAAGCCAACCGAAGAAGGCUUCUGGAAGCAGCCGUUACUACCGGGGAAGGGAAGACAUGAAAUCCCACUCUUGACCCCAAAUGUCAUUUUCCAGCUCAGAAUGAGCAUGAAGAAAGUGCAGGUAAGAAAUUCAGGGAAGUUGGGGGCACACAGUCACCUUUUUUUUUC
rnacentral:lncRNA from 1 species